rnacentral:rRNA from 1 species
AUUGAACGCUGGCGGCAUGCCUUACACAUGCAAGUCGAACGGCAGCACGGGAGCAAUCCUGGUGGCGAGUGGCGAACGGGUGAGUAAUAUAUCGGAACGUGCCCAGUAGUGGGGGAUAGCCCGGCGAAAGCCGGAUUAAUACCGCAUGAGACCUGAGGGUGAAAGCGGGGGAUCGCAAGACCUCGCGCUAUUGGAGCGGCCGAUAUCAGAUUAGCUAGUUGGUGGGGGAAAGGCCUACCAAGGCAACGAUCUGUAGUUGGUCUGAGAGGACGACCAGCCACACUGGGACUGGGACACGGCCCAGACUCCUACGGGAGGCAGCAGUGGGGAAUUUUGGACAAUGGGCGCAAGCCUGAUCCAGCAAUGCCGCGUGCAGGAAGAAGGCCUUCGGGUUGUAAACUGCUUUUGUCAGGGAAGAAAUCCCUUGGGAUAAUACCUCGGGGGGAUGACGGUACCUGAAGAAUAAGCACCGGCUAACUACGUGCCAGCCGCCGCGGUAACAC